UCCGGCUUAACGCCGGCGGUCUCCAUAGAGUGCCCAACUAAAUGAUGGCAACUAGGGAUAGGGGUUGCGCUCGUUAAGGGACUUAACCCGACAUCUCACGAUACGAGCUGACGACAGCCAUGCAGCACCUGAACCGCCGGUGUAUUGCUACAAGGGAAUAUCUCUACUCCUGUCCGACGUUGUCUAACCCAGGUAAGGUUCUUCGCGUUGCAUCGAAUUAAACCACAUGCUCCACCGCUUGUGCGGGCCCCCGUCAAUUCCUUUGAGUUUUAACCUUGCGGCCGUACUUCCCAGGCGGGGUACUUAAUGCGUUAGCUACGGCACUGUAGGGGUCAAUUCCCACAACACCUAGUACCCAUCGUUUACGGCGUGGACUAC
rnacentral:misc_RNA from 1 species